rnacentral:rRNA from 1 species
AGUGAACGCUGGCGGUAGGCCUAACACAUACAAGUCGAACGGCAGCACAGUAAGAGCUUGCUCUUACGGGUGGCGAGUGGCGGACGGGUGAGGAAUACAUCGGAAUCUACUUUUUCGUGGGGGAUAACGUAGGGAAACUUACGCUAAUACCGCAUACGACCUACGGGUGAAAGCAGGGGAUCUUCGGACCUUGCGCGAUUGAAUGAACCGAUGUCGGAUUAGCUAGUUGGCGGGGUAAAGGCCCACCAAGGCGACGAUCCGUAGCUGGUCUGAGAGGAUGAUCAGCCACACUGGAACUGAGACACGGUCCAGACUCCUACGGGAGGCAGCAGUGGGGAAUAUUGGACAAUGGGCGCAAGCCUGAUCCAGCCAUACCGCGUGGGUGAAGAAGGCCUUCGGGUUGUAAAGCCCUUUUGUUGGGAAAGAAAAGCAGCAGGUUAAUACCCCGCUGUUCUGACGGUACCCAAAGAAUAAGCACCGGCUAACUUCGUG